GACAGAGGGUGCAAGCGUUAAUCGGAAUUACUGGGCGUAAAGGGCAUGUAGGUGGUUGAUUAAGUCAAGUGUGAAAUCCCUGGGCUUAACCUGGGAACUGCACGUGAUACUGAUGAACUAGAGUACAGUAGAGGGAAGUGGAAUUUCCGGUGUAGCGGUGAAAUGCGUAGAUAUCGGAAGGAACACCAGUGGCGAAGGCGUCUUCCUGGACUGAUACUGACACUGAGGUGCGAAAGCGUGGGGAGCAAAC
rnacentral:rRNA from 1 species